AACAAAGCCUCCAAAAUCUUCUUCAUCACUCGAUUCUCCAAAGAUAUCCUCUAAAUCCUCGUCAGAAUCACUCUCUGAACUUUCUGAGUCCUCUGAAUCACUCAUAACAACGUUUGGUUUUUAAAAAAUGGCGCCCGUAAACGCACGCUUCAUCCGAACCUUUCAUAGCUUCUUCAUCAAAAAUAUCAUAUGACACAAUAUGGCGGAAAGCACGUGCCUUUGGGGUUUCAGCAUUAUAGAUUUCGUCAAUAUGAUUUAGGCCCCUCUAGAGCCAAUUAACCGGUAGUUUCCAGCUCCCAAACAUCAAACGAUCGAAUUCCYGGAAAACCGGGAUAGUUCGUACGGGAAACAAAAUUACAAUCCCGGAAAAGCGGGUUACUUUGGUGAAAGGGUUAAGACUUAAAUCACUUGAAUCCUAAAUAUAUUUAGUGUAAUCCUAAAAAUAUUUUGUGUAAGCUUAAAUUUUCAUGAAAUAUUGAAGGGAAUGUGAUAUCAAUUUGUUAUUCGUACGUCCCAGCUAUCGACAUAAGAGUUUUUGCACUGCUCCUCUGUAAUAGAAAUUUAAAAAAUAAAAAACUUGAUGCUUCAAUUAAAAAAAACAACAGUGAACUUAGAAUCAAAUAUGACAGUACAGUGUGCCAAGAAUCCUUGCCACAAGCACUACAAAAUUUUCCUGAAGGAAAACCAAGUUUCUGCACGACGUCUUGCCAUGCUAAUUCUUUUUUAGCUUUGUCUUUAAAAUCAUUCUCACAGUUUCUGCUAAACUUUUGUCCAAACUAAGCCUUGAACGGUCYGAUUUCUUUGUUGAUGUUGGGACAAAGUUCUUUGUGAUUGGUUUAUCGGCUUGUGCUUGUGCUUAUGCUGAUGUUGGUCAUGUCCUAACUGGACAUAAGCAUAAGCACAAGAAAAUCAAACUUGUCUUGUUUUUCUUGUGCUUAUGCUUAUGUCGUCCCCGUCCUCACUGGCUUUAUGCUUGUGUUUAUGCUUAUGCUUAUGUAAAAACCACGUAAAAGUGAGUCCAAUAUUAAUUCCAGACUCCUCUACAAAUAGAUUAUGAGAUUUUCUGAUGUUCACAAGCAGCAAGCUCUUCUGUUUUUGUUCUUUUCCAUUGAGUGUCUUGACUCGAUUAUCGAACCACUGUUCUAGUGGAGAUUUUUUGUACCUCAUUCAAGUUUUAUAGGGGGACUGGGUGCUAUGCAUAAAUCCGCAGACCAACUUUUAUGCUGGCGCAGAAAUAAAUUUCAUUCUCAGGAAUAUACACUAAAUAUGAAUGUAAAAGUAUUAAWURAUUUUAUUGGAUUCAGCAGUGAAGAUGAAAGAAACACUGAUGAGUAUGAUAAAAACAAUCAAUGCAUGUAUCUAAUUAUUUAUUUAUGUACAACAUAUAUGGAUACAUAAGCAUUUAUAAAAUACAUAAAAAAUGAAUAUUGUAGCUGUUUCGGCACAGGAUUACUUGGAACACUUUGAUCAUUUUUUUCAUUGAGUGAUAUUCAUGCUGGCCAAUUUAAAUGAAAUCACUCCAUGGUACAAUUUUUCAUAACAGUAACAUUGGUUUGUUUCAAAAUCUGUAUGGCAAUAUACUUCAAUUCAUGACCAUGAGUCGCUGUCCAUCUGAUCUUGAAAUUCCUCUUCAGUGUGCCACUCAUCAUUACUGGUGUCUACACAUUGUGUGCAGUUGUCCUCAUCUUCAUUUAUAGGUUCAUUCUGUCCACUGUUGCACUCUUCAUUGUUUUUCUUCUGUCCAUUUACUUCAUUGGGUUUAUUCUGCCCUGCACUUUUGAACUCUUUGUUGUUUUUCUCCUGUCCACUUUCUUCAUUGAGCUUAUUCUGCCCACUGUUGCACUCUUCGUUGUCCUCAUUCUGUCCACUGUCUUCAUUAUGCUUAUUCUCUUCACUGUUGUUGAUUUGAUCCUCAUCCUCAUUAUUUUUGUCUUUUGAUGCACUUUUUUUUACUCUUUCGUUCAGCCUUCUUGUAUGCCAUAGAAUAGCCAUACUUUUCCCUCUUACUUUUCAUCAUUUUUGUUGUCACCUUCAGCCUUUCUUUAAUUACUCCAUCUACUUUCAUUAACAUUGGAAUUGCCUCUUCAGUGGAGAAUGUCAGUAUUUGUAAACGUGUAUUUGUAAGCAUAUAAACUGUAUCUCCGAGUAGCACUCAGAAAUUUGGUUUUUCGCUGCCGCCAGUCAAAAAUAUUGAAGGUAGCAACUGAUUAGGUUUGAUUGACGACAGUAAAAAACAAAUUUGAGCAUGCAGCUCACAGACACAGAUCUUGCAUGUUUAUGAAGAUUGCAAUAAAGAGCAUGGAACAGCAAUCUUGAUUCUAAGUUGCAGUUUCAAGAGGGAUAACUAAAUUUUUGGUGUUGCUUGACUACAACUGGUGGUUGACUUUAAAUGUUUCAAUCCUUAGAUAAUGUGGAAACAAUGCAUCCCACAGAGACAUGUGAGCCAGCUGAGUAGAUGCUAAGCCACAGUUGUAGUACCCUCUCCUUUCUCCAGAACAAUAGAGYUUUCUUUGAGAAGCAACUCUGUAGCCUUGACAUUUUUGACCUCCCUUCUUACGGAGCUCAGAGACUUACGUCCAUCUUCCCCGAAGACUCGGCACAGUGAGAAAUUUCUUACAAAUGUGGGCGUGUCAGUACACAAAAGUGGGCGUGGUAGAGACAUGAAUUUUUAAUGACCUGUCACAGUUCGAUGAGAUCCGUAGUAUGUACCAAGGUUUUUCGUACGAGCCACAAGAAGGUACUGUCAUGGGAAGCCCAGCAUUUGCUGACAUCCAUAUUCUUUACAUGAAGGUCUUCAAAGAAUAGGCCCUACAGACAUGCUGCGUUGAGAACAAGCCAAGCGUUUGGAAGCGCUACAUUGAUGAUACCUUUAUCAUUGUUGACUGGUCCAACAUAGACAUGCUGUAACCCCAUCUUAACAGCCAGCAGCCCACCUUCCGGUUAACCAUGGAGACAGAGUAAAACAAUAUUGCCUUCCUUKACACCAUGGUACACAGGGAACCCAAAGGCCGCCUUUCCACCAGUGUCUACCAUAAGCCAAUGUACAUGGACCAAUAUCUCGCAUACCACUCUCACCAUCCACAGACGGUAAAAAGUCAUCAAAUGUCUCUAUGACAGAGCCCUUCAUAUCAUCACAAAGCCAAAUACAAAGGUAAGCGAAACAACAUCUUGGGUCUGCAUUUAUGUCUAAUGGUUAUCUUUUUUUUCUUGCAGAGAAUCACUAAGUCCAGAAUUCCCACUCAGACUGCAGAACAGAAAUACAGAUCUGUUUCCGUACUGAUACCUGAAACCACCCUACACAGACAAAUAGUUAGCCCGAAAUGCCCAGUCCCUUCUGGCCGACGCAACAGAAUAGUUUACAAUUUCCCAUGCAGUGAGUGCGACAGCAUCUACAUUGGCAAAACUAAGUAACCAGUAUAAGAAAGACUAAAAGAACAUGAGAGAGAUAGACRUCCGCUUAGCUUAAUACCUCUGACCACUCCCCGGAUUAGAAGAACAUCAAGUGCAUCGACAGACACAACAACUGGUACACACGCAGAACCAGAGAAGCCUUUCAUAUUAUACUCCACCCCAACAUCAUCAAUAUGGACAGCAGAAUUGAAAAGCAUGGAGAGCGACCACCGUGAUACAAAUGAAUAAGGACAGAGAUAUAAAGCCCCUCUUCUAGCACCUCCGGCUGUACCUAUGAUUUUACACUGCCAGUUGAAAAAACAUGCCUGGUUUUGCUAUGUAAUGCAUAUGUGAGCUGAAUGAUGAAUGGCCAAGACUUCUUUUUAUUCUUACCUCAAGUACACCAAAAACCUACAUGGUUUCUUCUUAAUUUGAAAAGCCUAUGAAAAUGAUCAGAAUAUUUACACACAAAAAAAACACUCGUUUUAAAAGUUAUUCACAAAUUUAAGGGGGGAUUUAUGCACUUUCAUUUUCAUUAUGCUUCAGUUAUGAAUUGGUAGACUAGUUAACAGCAAGGGAAAAUAGCUGUAUGACUAAAUAUACAGCAAUUUGAAAAAAGGUUAAUAAAAGAUUUUGUUGCAUGUGUUGGCUACUAAGGUUACAUCUGUGUUAUACAUGUACGUGAUGAUUGUGCAUCUGUGUUAUACAUGUACGUGGUGAUUGUACAUCUGUGUUGUACAUGCACGUGAUGAUUGUACAUCUGUUGUGCAUGCAUGUGAUGAUUGUGCAUCUGUUGUACACGUGAUGAGUGUACGAGUAGAACAAUAAUAAAUUGUUUUAAAAUAUAA